GGGCCCAUAGCUUAACCUGGUGGAGCGCCGGUCUUAUAAGCCGGUGGUUGCCGGUUCGAAUCCGGUUGGGCCCA
rnacentral:tRNA from 1 species